rnacentral:rRNA from 1 species
UAUCUCUGUAGAGUCUGCAUAUCAAUAAGCGGAGGAAAAGAAACUGACUAAGGAUUCCCUCAGUAACGGCGAGUGAAGCGAGAAGAGCUCAAAUUUGAAAUCUUCAAGGUUCUACCUUGACGAAUUGUAGUUUAAAGAAGUGUUUUCUGUUGAAGUUUUCGGUAAAAGUUCUUUGGAAUAGGGACAUCAUAGAGGGUGAGAAUCCCGUAUUUGACCAUUAUUUCCAGCUUUGUGAUACACUUUCAAAGAGUCGGAUUGUUUGGGAAUGCAGUCCAAAAUGGGUGGUAAAUUUCAUCUAAAGCUAAAUACUGGCGAGAGACCGAUAGCGAACAAGUACCGUGAGGGAAAGAUGAAAAGAACUUUGAAAAGAGAGUUAAACAGUACGUGAAAUUGUCAAAAGGGAAGCGUUUGACACCAGUGUUGUUUUCUCGAAAAUCAAUUAAAAAAGGCAGGAUUUUGUGUUGUAUUGACUUUAUCAGCUUUCUGCACUCUUUUCUUGUCUUUUUUUAAUGCACUUUUCGUUUAACAAGUCAACAUCAAUUUCUUUUGUUGUAAAAGGGUCAUUGGAAGGUGGCUUUCUUUUCGGAGAAAGUGUUUAUAGCCUUUGGCCUCUGCAAUCGGAGAGAUUGAGGUCUGCAGCGUAGAUCCUUCGGGGUUAGAUACAUUUGUGCUAAGUUAUAGCCUUUCAUAGACAACUUGUUGACUAUGAUCAGUCAUGUAGCUUACUCGCUUAUGCUAUUUUACCUACGCUUAGGAUGUUGAAGAUGUAGCACAUCAU